UCGCGAAGUGGGGGUAAGGCUGCGUACAUUAUGACCCUCCCCAGACGCUGUAGUGGCAGGAGCCUCGUGUACUGGGUACACCUUUUUUUAAGGGGAAAAUUAUUAG